AUCAAUUAGGCCUGCUCCAUAUUCGUCCUUGAAGAAUUCGCGUUUCUGGCAAUCUUCACAGGUUAGUGAUCCUAAAAAAUUUAAAAUCUUUCCGGUAUGCAGCCUCAACCUUUUUGGACCUACUCUCACCUGUCAUAAUUGAGCCUGGAAUGCAGUAAGAUAUGACGAAUUAGUAAACAAAAAAAAUUGGGUAAUCCAAAGAAAAGAUUUCAAAUUUUUAAGUAUAGUUAAGUUGAGAAUGCCGAAAACAAGUUUCUGCUUUUUUUCCUCUGAGUUCACAUCAAUCUUCUCCCUCAUGAAAGACACACAUAACAAUCAUAAUCAAGAAGUAAUGAACAAGUUGAGAUAUUUCAAUGGAUUAUCACAGAUUAUUCCUACAUAUGAACAGCUGCGAAUAUAGAACUGAAAUGUCCAAUAGUAAAACAUGGUAUACCUGCAAGUUUCUAACGCUUUGUCCCUCCAAGGAAUCACACAUCCACAAGCUUCCAUGUAUUCAAGAAUGUGCUGAUGUAGUAAUGAUUACUAGGAUGUGCUUAGCUUCACUCUAGAAAAAUUUUGACAAGCCAAAAAAAGAGCUGAUGCAGAUUUUGCAUAUGGAGCAUGCCAAAUUAAUGCUUCCAAUGCCGUGAACCUGGUUUAGUGUAUGAUGCUACUGAAAUGAAAUUGACUACAUAAGAUUUUUAUGCGGUUAGGGCUAUAAUUCAAUGCUUCUACAACUCAUAACAGGGGAUAAUAGCAAGGGAUCUAAACUACCCUUCAUUUGCUCUCCAAGCCUCACACUCAGAUUCCAAUGUAUUUGAUAGUUUCAAGAGGACUGUCACAAAUGUUUGAUCCCCGAUGUCCACAUAUAAAGCUAUUGUGAGUUGUGACUGCUCCUCA
rnacentral:lncRNA from 1 species